GGCGCGGUGAUCUAGCGGUCAAGAGCAAUGCCUUGGAUGCAUUGAAGCGAUGGUUCGAAUCCAUCCCGCGCCA
rnacentral:tRNA from 1 species